UUCGGCCAUAGUGGCGCACGGGUGAGUAACGCGUGGGAACCUGCCCAGCAGUGGGGGAUAACUUCGGGAAACCGGGGCUAAUACCGCAUACGCCCUUAGGGGGAAAGAUUUAUCGCUGUUGGAGGGGCCCGCGUCCGAUUAGUUUGUUGGUGGGGUAAUGGCCUACCAAGACUACGAUCGGUAGCUGGUCUGAGAGGAUGAUCAGCCACACUGGGACUGAGACACGGCCCAGACUCCUACGGGAGGCAGCAGUGGGGAAUAUUGGACAAUGGGCGCAAGCCUGAUCCAGCAAUGCCGCGUGAGUGAUGAAGGCCUUAGGGUUGUAAAGCUCUUUCGGCGGGGACGACGAUGACGGUACCCGCAGAAGAAGCCCCGGCUAACUUCGUGCCAGCAGCCGCGGUAAUACGAAGGGGGCUAGCGUUGUUCGGAAUUACUGGGCGUAAAGAGCACGUAGGCGGUUCGUUAAA
rnacentral:rRNA from 1 species